CGGCGCGCGGGGCGGCGCGCGUGUUCGCUGCGACUCCGGCCGCUUAGUAGACUGCGUGAGUCCAGUCGCGCCGGUCGCUCCCGGCCUACAGUCGCCGCUCUGCUCUCGCGACUGCAAACUUCACUCGCGACUCGCCGCCACACGUGCACUCCGAGCCGAGCCGAGCAGCGCGGCACCCGCACGUGACGUCGCAUGACACACACGGGACCGUUUAAAAACUCGUAAAACCGCGGCACGUGCUCCGGAGUCGUAAAAUAAUCGUAAAAAGUAAACACGAGUCGGCCGGCCUUUAUCGCCGAUGAAACACAUUAUGACGGUCGGGUGACGUUUAAUAGGCAAUAAAAUUAAUAAAGUCAACACACAGUCGCCUACAAGUGACGUUCGCUACCUCGGCUCGCGGGGCCGCGAUGACAUAGUGCUCCCGUGACGUCAGUGUCGGACUCCACGAUGAAUUCCUACUUCGAGCAGGGCGGCUUCUAUGGCGCGCACGGCGUGCACCAGGGCGGUGGCGGUGGCGACCAGUACCGCGGCUUUCCCCUAGGACUUACGUACGCCCAACCGCAUGCAUUGCACCAGCCGCGCCCGCAGGACUCGCCCUACGACGCCUCCGUGGCAGCCGCCUGCAAGAUAUACGCGGGGGAGCAGCAAUAUGCCAAGGCCGACUGCUCCAAAGCAGCCGAGCAGCAGAACGGAUACGGUGGCAAGGAGGCCUGGGGCUCGAGCCUCGGAGCGCUCGUACGGCCCGCGGCCUGCACGCCCGAGGCCCGCUACAGCGAGUCCUCGAGCCCGGGCCGAGGACUUCCGUGGGGCAAUCAGUGCACGCUGCCCGGCGCCGCGGCCUCCGCGCAGCCCGUACAGCAUCAGCCCACCAACCACACGUUCUAUCCCUGGAUGGCCAUAGCAGGAGCGAACGGCCUGAGAAGACGAGGGAGACAAACCUAUACAAGAUAUCAAACGCUAGAGUUAGAGAAGGAAUUCCACACGAAUCACUACCUCACGCGGAGGAGACGUAUAGAAAUGGCGCACGCGCUCUGUCUCACGGAAAGACAAAUCAAAAUAUGGUUCCAAAAUCGAAGAAUGAAGUUAAAGAAAGAAAUACAAGCGAUAAAGGAGUUAAACGAGCAAGAGAAGCAGGCGCAGGCGCAGAAAGCGGCGGCGGCGGCGGCAGCGGCGGCGGCGGCGCAAGGGCAUCCCGAGCACUAGCUCGAGCAAGCGCGGCUCGAGCAUGCGCGGCUCGAGCAUGCGCGGCGCGCGCGCUCGCCGGCGACUCGCUCGCAGCCCGCCGAACAUUCUUUAGCUUUGUGUUUGUAAAUUGUUUGUAAUUAUUUUCGUUAUUUAAGUGUUGUUCGGUUGUUGUGAUUAUUUUUUUUAAUUAAUUGUAAAGAAUUAGACUCAUGUUUUCUAAGAACGAAUGAACAAUAAACUAUUUAAUGUUAGAAUAGAAACGGGUCGUAUUAUUUUGUGUUUCGGGUUUUGUUUUUUUUUUGUUGAUUUAUUGAAUUUUUUUUUAAAUAUUUUAAUUCGCGCUUUCGUCGUAAAUGUUCGCGUUUGAAAACCAGUGCAAUUUUAGAAAUCUCUUUCGUGUAUCAUAGUGUAGGUGUAUGUAGAUGGUGCGUCCCGCAGCGGCCCGGCGUGUGCGGUGGACUCUUACGUUGUACAAAUUUGAUAUGCCUACCAAAGAGACCCGGUCUCGUACCCUUAACGUUAAGUAAACAGUCAUAAGUUAUAAAUCUUUAUCCGCAAUCCCGGUCAUCGGACUCGAAUGCCGCGCCAUCUGAUCCUUCAAUACUCUCGCAUAAGUAUAGUGUAAACGUGGUCGUGUUCCUGCAGUUUUAAUAGUCGGUGAAGUUUAACAAAUUGCCAUAAAUAUAAGUAGGUAUUUAGGUAGUAGAGGUGUAAAUAGUUAGGGUUACGUCUAUGAUAAUGGAAGUGAGUUUGCGGUGCGCCGGCGCUGGAAUGGGCAGAAAAAGCUCGGAGGGAGUGCAGGCGAGCGCGGGGGAGGCGGGGUGAGGCGGGGCGUGCGGGGAGCGGCGCCGCCGGCCACCGAACAGGACUAGGUGGUCGUCGCGCGUAUAGCGCUGUUGAUCGGUAGGUGUCGCGAAGUGUCGCGCGGUGUCGCGUGUGUCGCGCGGUGUCGCAUGUGUCGCGCGGUGUCGCAUGUGUCGUGUCGCGUGACAUUCGUCAGAGUAAGCGCGUGUGACGGUCCGAGAUGUCUCGCUCAGUUCGCAAUAAAGCGCGGCGCGCGGAUUGUUGUAUUGCCACUUGAUUUACUCCAUUCGGCCGAGUCGGUUUGACGUCGAGAGAUCAAGAUAUCAAACUCGACUGUCGAAUAAAUUUUUGUGCCAGCCCACACGAACGCUUAGGCAAUCGACUGCCGAAGAUUUAUCGUCAAAAUUUCCCGUUAGUAACGCUUACCGAGCACACUCCGCGUAUCACUAUUUCACAAAUAAAAGAACCAGUCGCGAUAUCAUCGUCGACUAUAAAUUAUAUGAUGCUCGUAUGAAAAAUACACGUUUCGAUGUCCGCUUAUUUAUCGCUCACCCUGAGUUAUGUAUGCGUUAUGUUAAUCUCGCUCGUUAUUAAAUAGACGGUUCUAUUAAUAUUAAUUAGCUUCUGUCAAUAUUUUAUGAAAACACGAACGAUAUGUAUGAAUAUUGAGGUCGAGAUUGAGAUAUCCGAGGGCGUCGUGUCGGAUCGCGCGGACGGGCGAGCUAGGUAUCGGUAUCGUGCUGAUCUGCUAUCGCUCCAUCGGCCGGUGGCUGGUCCACACUAGGCUAGGUAGAGUUCCCGCGUUCUGCCGCGUGAUAUAUCGCUCCGCAUCUCCCUGUAUAAAUCUUGAACGCCUGCUGAGGUACACGGGACAUGGCCGCGCCGCAGCCUCGAGCUUCAAAUGGAAUUGUGUUUUUAUUUAUCGUGCGAAUUGUGCCCCACUAUCCCUCACCCGGUAUCGCAGUUUAUCUGCCAAAACACGCAUGGAUCGAUGCAAAAUUUAGCUCUUAAGUUGCCCUGCCUGUAUUACAAUAAAAUACUGUUCUUGCACAUUUAAAUACUGUUGCAUUUCGUAAAUCCUUUUCAUCUGAUUUUUUUAUUACAAAGCGAUAUAUCUGUAGAUAAAUUGGAGCAGUAUUUUCUAGUACAGUUAGUAAUGUUAUGGUUAGAGGAUAAUAUAGUGAAAAAUGUACAAAUACGGUUAUCUGUCGUAGCAACUCAUCACUUGCCCAAAUUGUUUCCUAAGUAGCUUCAUUGAUAACACCAAGUAGUGGGGUCAAAAAACGGGUGACACGUUAACUGCGACAUAUUAAUUAAACGAUAAUAUAUUUCAAAUUUAUGAGGUCUUUAAGACCACCGGCAUAUAGUCACCUGUCAUUUUAUCGUUUUAAAAUUUAUAGGUGAUUUUAUCCAAUUUAGCAGUGACGUGUUAAGAUUACCUAAUGUAAAUAUUUAUAAAACUAGUAUGAAUUAACAACUGAUGUACAACGUCUGUAUACGUUCAGAAAAAUAUUAAUGUCUAAAUGGAACAAUGAAGAGAUAGACUGGCGUGGCGUAGCGUUAGCAAAACACACUCAGCUAAAUAAAUUAAAAAGUAUUUCAUUUUUAAUUAUUACAUUUUCUUAGAUGAAUAGUCCAACGAGAUAUCAAAUAUUUACGAGUAUCAGGAAUGUUAUAGAGCUGUGUAAAAACUUUGUGUUACCAAAACUAUUAAAUACAUAUUUACGUUUGUAAAAUAAAUUCAUGAGAAAACCAAUUCGGCAUAUUAAAUAUUUCUUGAAAUAGUGUCUUUAGACCGAAAAUAAUUCUGAGCAACCUGUAUAGUGGAAAUAUUGUGUUUUGUUUUUAUUUUUUGUGAAGACGUCUCCAAAAUCGUUACUAAAUAUGUUAUUUAUUUGUCAAACCGAAUUUAUUUGUAAACGAGUAUCUAGAUCAUGUUCAUAACAAUCCUGAUAUUUAUACGUAUAAUAGGCACUUACAUAAGUAUGGUGCAUAACCUACUUUUAUUAAAAUCUAUACAACAGUUAUAGAUGAUGGAUUAAAUUAAAUUAUUAUUGUUCCAAGCGUAAAUAUUAGAAGCAAACGAAUACGUCACGUCAGAAACCUAUAUACGUAAUUUAAAAGGCUUUAGUAUGAAAAAUAUUCCAUGUUAGUCGAUAGCUUAACUUAUUCUUAGCUUACCUAUAAUAGUCACUUAAAAAUGACAAGAAUCAAAACUAGUUGUGCCCAGUAUACGAAUAGCUAAUUAAAUUAAGUAAUAAUAUAAUUUAUUUUAAGAUACAGUAGUGGUAAUAUUUUUGGAUUCCU
rnacentral:misc_RNA from 1 species